UGGCGGGUGGUGUAAUGGCAGCACGGCGGCCUUUGGAGCCGUCAGGUCAAGGUUCGAGUCCUUGCCCGCCAG
rnacentral:tRNA from 1 species